rnacentral:lncRNA from 1 species
CCCUUUUAGCUAGUGGCAUGACAUAUGUCACAAUGGUUUUUUGCUGCAUCAUGUGCAAAACUUACAUUUGGAACUGCGCCAUUAUGAGUUACCUUGUUAAUUUCUUGGAGCAAGUUAGACUUUUUUUUUCUCUUGUGAUUGUGACUGUAGUCUACUUUUUUUUUUAAGGAAUGACAUAUUUACAGUAGUCUACUUAGUCUGCUAAUGAGCAACUUGACUGAUUCAUAUACAAAUUAAACAGGCUGCCAUAACUUGUAUCCCUGCAUCUUAACUGAUUAGCAAUACAUUGUUCAUUCAUGUGAGUGUGAUCAUGCUAGCUUGCUCUAGUACUCUGCAACUGCAAGAGCGUUCCUUACAAGUAAUGUGCUCUAUCUCUGGCCUAUCGUCUAUACAGCUAGAACAAUGCAUCACCGUCGAAUAAUUGUAAGUGGAUGAUUCUCCGCAUUGCCUUCCUCUAAUCUACACUCGUACAUGUGACCAACCAUAUGACAGCGAUUUAAUACUAGUUCGUACACGCUACAUGUUUUAGGUAUUUAGAGCAAUGCAAGAUAUAUUUGCUGAAUUAGUUAGUGUGAACAUGUUUGGAAUGACGGUGUGCCAUGCCUCGUGCUCCCGUAGUCGUACCCACAUCGACUAACUAAUUGCCCAUUUUCAGCUGUCCUUACUCUGUGUUUGGAACUA